AUUGAACGCUGGCGGCAUGCCUAACACAUGCAAGUCGAACGGCAGCACGGUGUGUAGCAAUACACAUGGGUGGCGAGUGGCGGACGGGUGAGUAUAAAGUAGGAAUCUGCCUUAUAGAUUGGGACAACUUGGGGAAACUCGAGCUAAUACCGGAUAAGCACUACGGUGGAAAGUAUGGGACCGAAAGGCCAUACGCUAUAAGAUGAGCCUACGUCGGAUUAGUUAGUUGGUUAGGUAAAGGCUGACCAAGACGAAGAUCCGUAGCUGGUCUGAGAGAAUGAUCAGCAACACGGGGACUGGGACACGGCCCAGAGUCCGACGGGAGGCAGCAGUGGGGAAUAUUGGACAAUGGGGGAAACCCUGAUCCAGCGAUGCCGCGUGUGCGAAGAAGGCCUGCGGGUUGUAAAGCACUUUAGUUGGGGAAGAAAGUUCAUGAUUCGAAUAGGGUUGUGAGUUGACGUUACCCAAAGAAUAAGCACCGGCUAACUCUGUGCCAGCCGCCGCGGUAA
rnacentral:rRNA from 1 species